rnacentral:rRNA from 1 species
AGAGGGGAAGAACCUCCAAUCGGUUCAUCCCCCGUGGGCCUGACGGUCCCCUCAAAAAAACCGCCGGGUAUUUCCGGGCCAGCAGCCGUGGUAAUACAGAGGGUGCAAUCGUGGUCCGGAAUUAUGGGGCGUAAAGCGCGUGUAGGCGGCUGUUUAAGUCUGAUGUGAAAGCCCUGGGCUCAACCCGGGAAGUGCAUUGGAAACUGGACAGCUUGAGUACGGGAGAGGGUAGUGGAAUUCCGAGUGUAGGGGUGAAAUCCGUAGAUAUUCGGAGGAACACCGGUGGCAAAGGCGGCUACCUGGACCGAUAUUGACGCUAAGACGCGAAAGCGUGGGGAGCAAACAGGAUUAGAUACCCUGGUAGUCCACGCCGUAAACGAUGAGUACUAGGUGUCGGGGGUAUUGACCCCUGCUGUGCCGAAUAUAACGUAUUACUUACCCCGCCUGGAGAAUACGGCAAAGGUAAAACUCAAA